rnacentral:rRNA from 1 species
UACGGGGGGGGGCAAGCGUUUGUUCGGAAUUACUGGGCGUAAAGGGCGCGUAGGCGGCCCGCUAAGUCGAACGUGAAAUCCCCCGAGCUCAACUCGGGAACUGCGUCCGAUACUGGCGGGCUUGAAUCCGGGAGAGGGAUGCGGAAUUCCAGGUGUAGCGGUGAAAUGCGUAGAUAUCUGGAGGAACACCGGUGGCGAAGGCGGCAUCCUGGACCGGCAUUGACGCUGAGGCGCGAAAGCUAGGGGAGCAAACGGG